GGGGGUGUAGCUCAGCUGGGAGAGCACCUGCUUUGCAAGCAGGGGGUCGACGGUUCGAAUCCGUUCACCUCCA
rnacentral:tRNA from 1 species